rnacentral:lncRNA from 1 species
CGUAAAUGGGUGCUGAGCGUUUAGGGGUGCGGGGCAACUCCCUAACUCGUGGGGCCCUGGCCGGCCCUGCCGCGGCGUCCGAGACCUUCUGAUCCCUCGCUGCGCGCGGCGCGGGGUUGGCGACUUGGGCUCAGGGGCGGCGGGGCGGGGAGGUGCCUUGACCUAGGGACCCAGAGGCCGGGAGCAAGUCUCCUUUCGCCUUGGACUGCAGUGUCCCCCAGGGCAAGGACUGAACCAGGUCGCGAGGGUCUGUCUCCCGUCUGGGGAGCUGAACUGCCCGAGACACUGUCGCAGUCGCGGGGACUUGUCUGGAGCGGCGGGGUCUGAGCCCAAGUCCGAAGCCGCCGCUGCCGCCAGCGUCCCGUGCGCCUGCCGCCCCGGGACCAGCCGCGAAACUUCUUCUCGGGACGGAGACAGCGCUCGCCGCCCGGGCCGAGGCCCAGCCCAAUAGGAAGCACCUGAUCCACACUCUUUCUAGCCCCAGGGAUGCUCAGGAAAGCAGCCUUUCUUUAGGGCUGUCAUCUGUUCUGGGGAUCUGUUGCUGUUUCUUGGGCCCACAGAAUACACUCCACACCUCGGGACUCUAUAAUAUUGGACAAGGCUGGAAGGCCCAUUUGGCUCCUGCAGCCUCUUAUGCAGGUGAGGACAGACCCAAGGUCCAGGCAAUGCUGGCCUUUGGAACACAGAACCUGGCUCACUGACUCCCACUCCAGUUGUCUUUUCCCUCUGCCUCUGGAGCAACCCUCUCUCCUCCGGAGCAACCCCUGUCCCUCCUUCC